GGUCCCAUCGUCUAGUGGCCCAGGACAUCGCCCUCUCACGGCGAAAACGGGGGUUCGAUUCCCCCUGGGACUACCA
rnacentral:tRNA from 1 species